GAAAUGCGAUAAGUAAUGUGAAUUGCAGAAUUCAGUGAAUCAUCGAAUCUUUGAACGCACCUUGCGCUCCUUGGUAUUCCUUGGAGCAUGCCUGUUUGAGUAUCAUGAAAUCUUCAAAGUAAAUCUUUUGUUAACUCAAUUGGUUUCUACUUUGGUAUUGGAGGUCUUUGCAGCUUCACACCUGCUCCUCUUUGUUCAUUAGCUGGAUCUCAGUGUUAUUCUUGGUUCCACUCGGCGUGAUAAGUUAUCUAUCGCCGAGGACACUGUAAAAGGUGGCCAAGGUAAAUGCAGAUGAACCGCUUCUAAUAGUCCAUUGACUUGGACAAUACUUUUAUGAUCUGAUCUCAAAUCAGGUAGGACUACCCGCUGAACUUAAGC
rnacentral:misc_RNA from 1 species